CUUUUGGAAGCUUGCAAUAGCCAUGAACUUUUACUUCAUAAAUAGGAAAUGAUUUUCCCCAAAAGA
rnacentral:tRNA from 2 species